CCCCUUUUUAACAUCAUCAAAGAUAUAAAAUAGUAAACCAAGAUAAAAUAAGCACAUAUGUUAAUGCAUGAUCAUUGAGGCUACACUGACAUGAGCAAGUAAAAUUAAAAAAAAAAAGAAAAGAAUGAUAGCAAUGGAACACAUGAAUUUAUUGAUCAUCCAAGUUAGCAUCAUAUAUUAUUCAUAACAACAAUGGUCUAAAAUCAAGUGCGGGAAAAACCACUACAGAAGAUUAGAAAUAAACAAUACUUAAUGAGAAAAAA
rnacentral:lncRNA from 1 species